rnacentral:rRNA from 1 species
GGAUGAGCCCGCGGCCUAUCAGCUUGUUGGUGAGGUAACGGCUCACCAAGGCGACGACGGGUAGCCGGCCUGAGAGGGCGACCGGCCACACUGGGACUGAGACACGGCCCAGACUCCUACGGGAGGCAGCAGUGGGGAAUAUUGCACAAUGGGCGAAAGCCUGAUGCAGCGACGCCGCGUGAGGGAUGACGGCCUUCGGGUUGUAAACCUCUUUCAGCAGGGAAGAAGCGAAAGUGACGGUACCUGCAGAAGAAGCGCCGGCUAACUACGUGCCAGCAGCCGCGGUAAUACGUAGGGCGCAAGCGUUGUCCGGAAUUAUUGGGCGUAAAGAGCUCGUAGGCGGCUUGUCACGUCGGUUGUGAAAGCCCGGGGCUUAACCCCGGGUCUGCAGUCGAUACGGGCAGGCUAGAGUUCGGUAGGGGAGAUCGGAAUUCCUGGUGUAGCGGUGAAAUGCGCAGAUAUCAGGAGGAACGCCGGUGGCGAAGGCGGAUCUCUGGGCCGAUACUGACGCUGAGGAGCGAAAGCGUGGGGAGCGAACAGGAUUAGAUACCCUGGUAGUCCACGCCGUAAACGGUGGGCACUAGGUGUGGGCAACAUUCCACGUUGUCCGUGCCGCAGCUAACGCGUUAAGUGCCCCGC